rnacentral:misc_RNA from 1 species
CUCUCUAAAAGGGAUGAUGAUUUUUUUUUUUUUUUACUAACAAGAUUCUUUUCUUUUAUAUAAAACUUUUAAUUAAGUAGAUAUUAAAUUUUUUUUAAUAGAAGUUUAAAAUUUUAAUUAUUAAAUUUCCCUUUGAAAUGGAUGCUUUAUUUUAUCGAGUUAUAUGAGGUGGAGUGAUUAGUGAACAAAAGAUUAUUCUUUACAUUCUAGUUUUUAAAUAAUUCUCAUCAUCAAUUUUCUUUAAACAAUGAAAAUGAUAACACAUCCUUUGUAUAAUGAAAAUGACAAUUUAAAAUUACAUGAUUUUUUAACACAUCCAAUGCUCAUGUGCUACUUAUGCUGCUGCUGCUGCCAAGACAAGAACAUGUUAACCAGAAAUAAGGGUUGGCAUCUACCUUGUUGAGCCUGGACUUUAGAUG